UCAGCACUUCAAGGAAGAAGAAAACACAACCUUCAUUUAUAUGUUUGUCAUAGGUUGAGAUUGGCCCCCCUCUGAGAGUCAGGGGGAGCUCAGAAGUGAUUGGGUGCCAGGGCAGUGUUCCCUGGAGAGCCAAUCACCAUUCAUAUUGUUCGCUUCUGCUCAAAAUCAUAUAUACACAGCACUGGAAGCUGUUGGCAGUCUUGGUGUUCUGCCUCCCCUCCGGGGGGAGAGAGGGGAGCCCUGCAGCCCCCCCAACUCUGCCUGGGCCAGAGUUGGAGGCAGCAUUUGGAGUGUGUGCUGUGAAGGAAGAGAUUCACAGCACCUGAGGUAAGAGGGAGGAGGCUAAGCCCUCUUCUUCCCCCCCACCCUGCACCUGCAGUACGCUUGGGAUAGUGUAUAACUGGACCGAACUCUGCCUGUGGCCAAGGCUAGGGGGCUUUUUCCCCCCUCACUGCAUUAAGACUGGUGGGAGGUGGAUUUUAAGGCUCAGCAUUUAAGCAGAGCCAAGUGGAUGGGCUGCUGACGAAACAGCUCGGAGCUAGGGAAAGGAAUCCCAGGCGAAAUUGGAGACGGACCGAAGAGAGGCCCAGAGGAUGUCUCUGCCGUGAUCUAAAUAGAGGACAGCCGAAAACCCGAGGAGGAAUCAACAUUCCAGGACACAGAUGCUUGAUAAGCUAAACUACACUGCAGUAGCCUACAAACCGAGGCAGAUGAAGAUAAAACAUCCUGAAAAUGCACACAUGCUUCACCUUGAACCAAACCAAGAUUGUUGUAACAGUUUGUCGCUCCUCUGUCUGAUGCUCAAGGUUGGCACAUGAAGUUACUGAAGCAGCUUCAGCAAGAAUUAUCAGGCACUCAGUGACAAUAUCAGCAUAUGAUUUUUUUCCUCCUGUGAUAUUCCUUUCAGCAUUGUUUUCUUUUUAAUGAUCUGUUGAUUAUUAUCACUUCAGCUUUACUUCACUGCCUGCUGCACACAUUUUCUUCUUGUCAUCCUUGCUCUUCUUUUUUUUCUCUUCCUCAUCAGUUCUCCCUUUCAUCACUUCAGAGUAUGCUGUUAGCAAAUGCCACCCACAGAUUUAAUAAAAAUUUUAUGGCCCAUUGUAAAACUAGUCCA
rnacentral:lncRNA from 1 species